rnacentral:rRNA from 1 species
UACAGAGGUCUCAAGCGUUGUUCGGAUUCAUUGGGCGUAAAGGGUGCGUAGGCGGCGCGGUAAGUCGGGUGUGAAAUCUCGGAGCUUAACUCCGAAACUGCAUUCGAUACUGCCGUGCUUGAGGACUGGAGAGGAGACUGGAAUUUACGGUGUAGCAGUGAAAUGCGUAGAUAUCGUAAGGAAGACCAGUGGCGAAGGCGGG